CCUACGGGAGGCAGCAGUAGGGAAUCUUUCACAAUGGGCGAAAGCCUGAUGGAGCAACGCCGCGUGCAGGAUGAAGGCCUUCGGGUUGUAAACUUCUUUUAUCAGCGAGAAAUAUGAUGGUAACUUAUGAAUAAGGCUCGGCUAACUACGUGCCAGCAGCCGCGGUCAUACGUAGGAUCCGAGCAUUAUCCGGAGUGACUGGGUGUAAAGAGUUGCGUAGGUGGCAUAAUAAGUAGCUAGUGAAAUCUGGUGGCUCAACCAUUCAGACUAUUAGCUAAACUGUUAAGCUCGAGACCGUUAGGGGUAACUGGAAUUUCUAGUGUAGGAGUGAAAUCCGUAGAUAUUAGAAGGAACACCAAUAGCGUAGGCAGGUUGCUGGGACGGUUCUGACACUAAGGCACGAAAGCGUAGGGAGCAAACGGGAUUAGAUACCCCUGUAGUC
rnacentral:rRNA from 1 species